GAUGAGCAGCUGGGCAGCAUCGCUGACCGGACCAUUCAGGAGGCGGACACCAACGGAGACAACUCCAUCUCCUUCAACGAGUUCAUCAAGGUGUUGGAGAAAGUGGACGUGGAACAGAAAAUGAGCAUCCGGUUCCUGCACUAAACAGCUGAUGUUUUUUUGUUUUUAUUUUUUUUUAAAUUGAGUAGAGCUUCAACAUGCGAGUUGGAGCCUGAACUCACAGCGGGCCACACUACGAGAACACGCUGUCGCCGGGUAGAUCACCUCAUAGAUCCUGUACGCAAAGGGGAAGAGUCGCGUGCCUUGGGUUGUUUUAUGCAAUGUCUCUGUGUUGUUUGGAACAUUAUUUAUUAGGAAACAUUUAGAGAGUUCCACUUUCCACAGGAGGAUUUAUGUUCUAGCUCGGUACGAUAACGCGUUCAAUAACUAGUACAUGUUGUGUCUUUGUCUCUAUACUUAUGCAAUGGAUUAACGUGUAAGAUGUGUGAUUCCUCGUGGAAACAGACGGUGUUUUAAAUGCUAACAUGACUCCUUAAUAUCGCCGACAGCUCUGAGUUCGUUACUCGAUUUAAAGCUGAACGUACACUUUGUGUUUCUCUCACUGAAGUGCCAUGGCUUCAUUAUCUCAACAGUGAACCCUUAUGGCCAUGUUUGUGUAUUUGUUUUUCAUAAUCUAGCUACUGCCAAUAGAUUGUAAUUACCUGUAGGACUGAACCAAAGUGAGUUCCACGCUAUUUCAACGCCUGCUGGAUCUAGGACGUAUGUUUUAAUGUCAUCAUUAAUUAACUCUGUUAUAGCGUGUCUUUCCUAAUAUAUCUUUAAUUGGUAUUACCAGAUUUAGCUGCCACUGUGGCCUGAUUUAAAAAAAAAAAAAGUGUUACCCCGUGUUUGAGUCGUCUGAAAGCCCUGUGGUGGAGAGUGGGAGGUGAGAUUUAACACUUGAAACCAGUAAAUCCAUAAUGGUGCAUCAUGCUUCCAUUAAUGUGAUCAGCUGCUAUGGGAAAGAUGUAUUAGCAGGCACAGCGGUGACAAGAUCUUAUUUUUCCCUUUUGUUUGGUUGCUGAUACGGUGUCUAAAUGUGUGUUGACGUUCAAACUGCUUCAACAUUCAUUUGAUUUCUCAGUUCCAGCUGCUUUAGAGAAUCAGAUGCUUUAAUAAUAUAUAUUUUCUGUACAGGCUAAGUGUGACAUUAUAAUCUUUGUUUGUCAAAUCCUCACCCUGCAGCAGCCAGCUGCAGGAAAUACGACUUGUUAAUCAUUUUGUGAUUAUCGAUCAGAUAGGAUUCACAUGUUACGUGAUGUUGGUAUUAUCUCAGUAAUUCAUCCAUUUUUGAUUUGAAUAAAAUUAAGUGCCAUGCUC